AAUAGAUACCCUGGUAGUCCACGCCGUAAACGACUGUCGACUUGGAGGUUGUUCCCUUGAGGAGUGGCUUCCGGAGCUAACGCGUUAAGUCGACCGCCUGGGGAGUACGGCCGCAAGGUUAAAACUCAAAUGAAUUGACGGGGGCCCGCACAAGCGGUGGAGCAUGUGGUUUAAUUCGAUGCAACGCGAAGAACCUUACCUACUCUUGACAUCCAGAGAACUUUCCAGAGAUGGAUUGGUGCCUUCGGGAACUCUGAGACAGGUGCUGCAUGGCUGUCGUCAGCUCGUGUUGUGAAAUGUUGGGUUAAGUCCCGCAACGAGCGCAACCCUUAUCCUUCGUUGCCAGCGGUUCGGCCGGGAACUCAAAGGAGACUGCCAGUGAUAAACUGGAGGAAGGUGGGGAUGACGUCAAGUCAUCAUGGCCCUUACGAGUAGGGCUACACACGUGCUACAAUGGCGUAUACAAAGAGAAGCGACCUCGCGAGAGCAAGCGGACUUCAUAAAGUACGUCGUAGUCCGGAUUGGAGU
rnacentral:rRNA from 1 species